UACGGAGGAUGCGAGCGUUAUCCGGAUUUAUUGGGUUUAAAGGGUGCGCAGGCGGAAUGUCAAGUCAGCGGUAAAAUUUCGGGGCUCAACCCCGUCGUGCCGUUGAAACUGGGGAUCUAGAGUGUGCGAGAGGUAUGCGGAAUGCGUGGUGUAGCGGUGAAAUGCAUAGAUAUCACGCAGAACCCCGAUUGCGAAGGCAGCAUACCGGUGCACAACUGACGCUCAGGCACGAAAGCGUGGGUAUCGAACAGG
rnacentral:rRNA from 1 species